GUCCAGCAAGCUCAGUCGGUAGAGUAUGAGAGACAAUCUCAAGGUUGUGGGUUCGAGUCCCACAUUGGGUG